CACUAAGAAGCUUAUAUAGCGUCAGCCUUUUAAGUUGAAGAGGAAAUUACUUUCCUUAGUGA
rnacentral:tRNA from 1 species